rnacentral:rRNA from 1 species
UACGAGAGGCCCAAACGUUAUUCGGAAUUCCUGGGCUUAAAGAGUUCGUAGGCGGCGCAGAAAGUAGGGUGUGAAAGCCCUCGGCUCAACCGAGGAAUUGCGCUCUAAACUACUGUGCUUGAGGAAGCUAGAGGUGAGCGGAACUGAUGGUGGAGCGGUGAAAUGCGUUGAUAUCAUCAGGAACACCGGAGGCGAAGGCGGCUCACUGGGGCUUUUCUGACGCUGAGGAACGAAAGCCAGGGGAGCGAACGGG